UACGUAGGUGGCGAGCGUUGUCCGGAAUUAUUGGGCGUAAAGAGCUCGUAGGCGGUUUGUCGCGUCUGUCGUGAAAGCUCGGGGCUUAACCCCAAGUCUGCGGUGGAUACGGGCAGACUAGAGGCAGGUAGGGGAGAACGGAAUUCCCGGUGUAGCGGUGAAAUGCGCAGAUAUCGGGAGGAACACCGGUGGCGAAGGCGGUUCUCUGGGCCUGUACUGACGCUGAGGAGCGAAAGCGUGGGGAGCGAACAGG
rnacentral:rRNA from 1 species